rnacentral:rRNA from 1 species
AUUGAACGCUGGCGGCAUGCCUUACACAUGCAAGUCGAACGGCAGCGGACCUUCGGGUGCCGGCGAGUGGCGAACGGGUGAGUAAUGCAUCGGAACGUGCCAUUGAGUGGGGGGAUAACGUAGCGAAAGUUGCGCUAAUACCGCAUAUUCUGUGAGCAGGAAAGCAGGGGACCGCAAGGCCUUGCGCUCUUUGAGCGGCCGAUGUCAGAUUAGCUAGUUGGUGAGGUAACGGCUUACCAAGGCGACGAUCUGUAGCGGGUCUGAGAGGAUGAUCCGCCACACUGAAACUGAGACACGGUCCAGACUCCUACGGGAGGCAGCAGUGGGGAAUUUUGGACAAUGGGGGCAACCCUGAUCCAGCCAUGCCGCGUGAGUGAAGAAGGCCUUCGGUUGGUAAAGACUCUUUCGGUCCGGGAACGGAAAUAC